AGAGCUGGACAAUGUAGGUGCAACUGCUGGUUUCUGGGUGAUCUCUAUGCCACUGAGGAGGAAGGAGUAGAGCUUUCUGCUGUUUUUAAGGCCCACACAACAAAUGAAAUUCUGUGACAACAUCUGUUAACAAAAAGAUCCGAUGGUUCAGGAAUGCAAAAAGGAAGACAUCACUUUCUCAUUCAACUGUCAAAGCACUGCUCAUCGUGUCCUCAGUUUUAUCUGAUUCUCUAAGCUCAAGGAUAAGUUAGUGUAUCUUAAUGGAUAAACAGGGCUCAAAAGAUUGUUGACAAUACUGGAAGUGGCUGGCUCUAUUUCUGAUAGAAAAGUAGAGGCUGAACCCCUCUCAUGGAAUGCUCUUCAUCAUGCUGAGUGUUGGUGGCCGCUAUAAUCUGUAUUACUUAGAAGAACUAUCAAACCAGGAAAAAAGACGUGCUUAUAAGGAACUACAAAGAAGUUGCAAGGUAGGACUCAUUAGUGUGUUUUGCACUGCAAGACCAGUCUUAGUUGAAGAAAUGAGAGAAACCACGCAUGUUAAAUCCAGGAAGGGGCAAGAAGAAGGAUGUGAGCACUGAUAUGAACCAACACUCAGUGGCGUACACAGCCCAAGAGGAGUCUUAUACAGUGGAAUUCAGGCAUUAUGAAUAUUGGAUGAUGAGUAUUCACAAGCCUGUGCUUUAUAGCUCUUCCAGACAUUUCACAAGAGUUUCCACGUGGUAAAUGGUGGGAUUUCCUCUAAGCAGCAAUACAGGAAACUUAAAACAGGAUGAUCCUGUCCCUGCUCAAAGGUCUAUUACAGAGAAGCACGUGAAUAUGCUUCACUGCAGGCCUUUGAACGGUGAUGAAACAAUUUUACAGUUAUUGCUAUGGUUUCACAGAAGCUCUUGCUACUCUAGACACAGAAAUUUUUCUUUCAUCUGAGUUUGAAACGAGGAUGUCAAGGAAUUCAUCUCUUUAGCUGUAAAUGCACAUCCAUAUUACUGCCAAAACACUCCUUUGGGUUUCCAGGGAUGCCAGACAUUAGAUGUAGCCCAAAGCCAGAGACGCUGCUGACCUCAGGAGUGCUGCCCCCUGUCCCUGCAGUGCUCCACGAGUUUCUCUUCAUUUUGGCAUUUGAAGGUCUGCGGAAGAAUUGAAUUUGGAGAGGUGAGGAGGUCAGUCCCAAUGGCAUUACUGAAAAAGGAAUACAGGUUGAAAACAUUAAAGGCACAGGGAAGAAAGCCAAGCAUCAACAUGUUAGUGAUAUCUGCUCCUUUUCUAGGUUACAGGCAGAAAAUUCAUUGCUUUUGAUGUAAAAUCCACCUGCAGAAACUGAAGAGAGAUUUUUCUUUAAGGAAAAUGGCAAACCCUGCCUCCUAUCUCCACUGUUGUGACAUACACCCAGAUUAGAUCGACGGUAGCCAUAUAGUUGCAAUGGAAUAAUUAGGUCUUUUUGCAGGUUUUGAAAUGAGUCUGAAUUUUCUCUACAGAUUUUUCUUUCGUUAUCAUUGCAGACUUUUUUUUUUUUUUUUAAUGAAAACAACAUUAU